GGCAAAUUUUUUUCCAGCAGCCGCGGUAAUUCCAGCUCCAGUAGCGUAUAUUAAAGUUGUUGCAGUUAAAAAGCUCGUAGUUGAACUUUGGGCCUGGUUGGCCGGUCCGAUUUUUUCGUGUACUGGUUUCCAACCGGGCCUUUCCUUCUGGCUAACCUUGGGUCCUUGUGGCCCUUGGCGAACCAGGACUUUUACUUUGAAAAAAUUAGAGUGUUCAGAGCAGGCGUAUUGCUCGAAUAUAUUAGCAUGGAAUAAUAGAAUAGGACGUUUGGUUCUAUUUUGUUGGUUUCUAGGACCAUCGUAAUGAUUAAUAGGGACGGUCGGGGGCAUCAGUAUUCAAUUGUCAGAGGUGAAAUUCUUGGAUUUAUUGAAGACUAACUACUGCGAGAGCAUUGCCAAGGACGUUUCAUAUCAAGAACGAAAAUUGG
rnacentral:rRNA from 1 species